rnacentral:rRNA from 1 species
UGUUCCUACGGGACGCAGCAGCAGUGAGGAAUAUUGGUCAAUGGGCGCGAGCCUGAACCAGCCAAGUCGCGUGAGGGAAGACGGUCCUAUGGAUUGUAAACCUCUUUUGUCGGGGAGCAAAAGACGCCACGUGUAGCGUUCCGAGAGUACCCGAAGAAAAAGCAUCGGCUAACUCCGUGCCAGCAGCCGCGGUAAUACGGAGGAUGCGAGCGUUAUCCGGAUUUAUUGGGUUUAAAGGGUGCGCAGGCGGAAGAUCAAGUCAGCGGUAAAAUUGAGAGGCUCAACCUCUUCGAGCCGUU